UUGUUUUUGUUUUUUUCCAAACAAACGUGCUUAUCUAAAAUUCCAUAAUUUUAGAACUGUCAAACGGCACAUAUGUUCGAAAAUGGCGGUGCUCAUCCGUUCAGACGCCGUUUCCUUUUGGGAGGCAUUUCUUAUCGUGUAGAAACGAAAAGCAAUUUUUAUUUAUUGUGCGUACUCUCAAACGUUUGACUAUCAUUUUCAAAACGAAACAAAACGAAUUGUUUUUCCUCGUUCUAAUGACAUCUAGGAGUUCCCCCCACGUUCGUUGAAAGAUUACAACAUCUGUGACCGUUGUGAAACCCGUUCAAAAGUGCAAGUGAAAAGAUUGGACUAUAUUCUUUUAGCCAUUUGAAAUGAUCGAUUUUAACUUGGAAAUAAAAAAUGAAAUUUGGCAAUUGUGCAGAAAAAAUGACGACGAAAAUGCUGGGCCAGUGAACUCGUCUUCCAACGACAUUUAAAACAGAGAACCGGUUCUGUUACAAAGGAAAAUUCUCUGCCGGUGCACGUCUACAACAAAAUAAAAAUGCCAUCCAAUUUCGUAUUCAAGCUCAGCUUCUUUUAUCGGAGUUCCAGCAAGCGUGGCCUUGAACGCCAGGAGCGAUGACAUAUCAAACACAGAAGACUUUCAAUUUUGGUAUCAAACAGACCACGAAGAUCAAUAGGAAAAUAAUUUUCUUCCCUACGGUCAAGAUAACGCCCCAUCGUAUUCCCAACAAAAGAACACAACAUUUUCUACCUGAAGGUCAACGGUAACUUUCGGUCAUUUUUAAGAGGAAGCGCAAUGCACACGAGACUUGAUUCUUUUUUUUUAAAAGCCAUCAACAGCCACCUCUUUCCUUUUAUUUUUUUUGCCGUGUAAUAGAGUAAAGAUUUCCGCCCCCACUUCAGGAAAAUGUUUUCACUAGUCCCAUCUCGCACGUGACCGAGUCCCACCCAACAUUUACGUCAACGUACUCCUUUACCUUUCGAGCUCAGCGUUUAGUUAGAACAGGGAUCGUUUUAAGUCUGUCGUAUCGACGGAUGUUCACACAACAAUGUUUAGAGAGAGAAAAAAAACAAAAAGACUUACCGACUGAAAAGAAUCAGUUUCCCACAGUUCUGGCAGAGCAUCCAUGCUCUCAUUGUAGUCACAUAAUGGCUGUUCUAAGCUAUCGAAAGCAUCCAUUUCGUUCACUGUAAUUUAUUGUUAUUUUAUUUUUCGUUGACAAUCCCGGAAAGAAGAAGAAGAAGCAAAGAUUGUUCAACCUUCACGUAAUGUUUUGAUGCACGAAAAUUCACAUAGAGCACGAGAAAAAGGAGAGACUUUGAAGUCAGUUCAUUUCCUUCCGGGACUUUGCGAAAAAAAAAAAAAACGAGACAAGCACCACGUUUAUUGCGGUUUUUUUUCUUGGUGUAGAUUUUCUCGCCCACUUAAGUCUCGAAAAAAAAAAAAAUUUGCCAGAUAUUUCCUGUCCAACUGACACCGACCUUUGCAAUCAGACCAAAAACAGAACGUAACGCGAUAGUUUGACGAAACGAACGUUCCAAGACCUUCAGAUUUCUUGAAUUUCAGUCUUGCACAAGUGGCUCAUAAAACAAUUGCCAACAAAAUAUUCAAAACUUGUUCGAAUAUGGAAAACGAAAACAAGAUGUGUGUGUGUGUGUGUGUGAGGGGUGGAUGACGAAGAAUUUCAAUCCACCUGUUCACUCGUCGAAGGUUCAGAGACAACUGCCGGUUCGCCGGCUGCCGGCACUGGCCAUACACACGCAAAGUCGCUAUAAAGCCCAAAGCACAAGUUGUAGAUAAAAAAAAGGGGGGGGGGGUAUUUGAAAUUUUUUUUUUUUUUCUUUCUUUUUUUUUUUUACAUACACGCGCUUGUCUAAUUUAUUCUUUCCCAACCCUUAUUUUUCACCUAAAUUACUAUUUUUAUUUGUUUGGGAUUUCGACUUUUUGUAUUGCAAAAAUAAAUACGAAUAGGAAUGAACAGAAGUAAAAUUUUUAGGCAAAUUACGUGUCGCGAUACCGUGUGUGUGUGUGUUUUUAAUGGGGCCACCUUUUUUUUUCGUGAAACAGAUGUUUGUGCGCGUUUUCCGUGUACUGUGUAUUUGUUGACAAAAUGGCACUAAAAGAUAAUGUGAAUAUCAGACAAGGAUUAAUUGAUUAAGCUUACAUUUGAUUCAAUUAAGACAGAAAAUAAUAAUUAUUUAAAUAAAAAAAAAAUCAUUUAAACUUGCCCGUAGAGAAAUUUCUAGAGCACUUGGCCCGUAACGCGGUAUAGAAAGAUAACACGUGCACGUAUAACAUGUAAAACACAUUAAAAUCGAGCUUAUCUUAUCUCUACAUUUUACUAGGGUGAAUUGCUCUAGUCGAUUGUGUGGCGGGGAGAGGGUUGGGGCAAAAAGUAAUAUGGAAACAAACUGAAAAUUACAUUUGAAAUUGUAAUUUCUGGAGGGUUAAUGCGGCACAUCAAUCAAUCAAAGGUGAACCUAUCCUUCAAACGCCAUUGGUGCUUUAGGCCGUCUAUUUUCUUAUUUCGAAAAAACCAGUUUUUAUCCCACAAUCGUAUUCUAUGUCUACCGUCAGCUUCCAAAUGCUCUUUGACGAGGACGGUUAUUAGGAAGCUCGUCAUCACUGUGGGCACUGAACAGCAAUUUCAACACACACUAUACAAGGUUGAGCUAUUCGUAAAUGUCCUACUUGUCUGUCACUAUAACGAGAUUUUCACAAGCUAAAAAUAACUAAUAGAAGUUUUCUAAUUUAUUCGAGAAAUUGGGCCGUCGUCGGCCAUCACUUUCUCAUUUCCUGAUUCUGUUUGACUUUUCUAAUCGUUUUCGUUUUUUUGUUGUUGCCUUCGAAAAGUAAAUCGGAGCUUAAAAUGCAGUCUACUCGUGUUUACACAUUUAUCGGUGGCCCCGACUAGAAUGUUUGGAUUCAGGGUAGUCUAACAUAAUUUGACAUUUAACAGACCUCCCCUAGAGAUGAAAUGUACCCAGGUAAAAUAACAACAACCUUACAUAUUGGCUAUUCGAAAAUGUUGUGAAACCUUUCGUAAUGAUUUUUAAGGGACGAAAUCGUUUUGCCUGUUACCUAGUCAGACCCUCAUCAGCCGCUCGUCAGGCCCUUGUCAGACGAACGUCACAUUUACUAUGUAGGUUAUACUGCUUUGCAGCAGAUGACUUUGAACAAGCGAUUUAGCAGACGUCGCGGGACCUUCACAGUUGUAGACAGACGUAAAAAUCGGUGGUGCCUUGCUUUUUUUCUAGAAAUUUAUACUUCACCAGCUCUGCCCUACCUCGCUGGCCUUUGAUAUUCCCUUGGGAAACGCUUUUCGUUCAACUUGCUACAACCUUUUUCACGUCAUUCAAAAGCUAAGAGGCUAAACAAUUACGUUGAUUUUGACAACACACGUGGUGCUCAACCUAAUGCUGUACUUAUUACAGACGAAUAAAAUUUAAAAGUACUUAACGAAAAUGGGUAUUAAAAUGACAUGGCCUACAUAUUUGGUUGAUCCCAACUAUUAAACGUAAACACGUUGAGCUUUGCAUUGAUAAUUUGAGUGUUAACGUAUGUCAACAAUUUAUGAAUUUUACAUAUUCAUUCAAUGAUUCAUCCCUUUACAAAUUAUGGCUGAUUUAACUAUCAUUACUUAUUAUACUAUUAUUACUUGAUUUACAUCGUUGCUGAAUAUUCACGUUUUGCCGAGUCCAAGAUAAACAGCUGAUCACUGUAGACUUAAAAAAUUUGACGUAAAUGAACAACCUAAUUACAUUCUCCUUGGAAACGAGCGCUACGCAGCAACAGUCUAUGGUUCGGCAACCAUUUCCACUCGGUUAACAGUUUUGAGUACUAAUUUAACUCGAAUUACGUUAGUAAACAAACGUAGGAUAUUGGGAAGAUGUUCAGUUUCAACAGAGAACACGUGCACAGUGUAUUUUACUUUUUUAUUAUUAUUUUUUUUUUUUCCUUUUCUUGUUGUUGUUGUUGGGAGAAAAGAGUCCGGGGUAUAGAGAGUAAGGGCGUUUGAGAAUAAACAGCUAAAUAAGUAACAAUGAUGAAAAAAAAAAAAAAUCAACAAAAAAACUGAAGUACGACAAACAGUAGAACUGCACAAAGAAUAAAUGGCUUAUCUUUACGCCGCGCUAACUUUUCCUUAGAUGCCGAGGUAAGAAGCAAUUCAAUCAACCUCAGUCACCGGAAUAAUUUUUUUUUUAAAGUACAAGGAGAUAAUAUGGUAAAGCGGGAUAUAAAGUGCACGAGACAACUAAGAAAUAUUUUAACUUGGGAAUUUUCAAACAGAUUUUUCCUUUUAAAAGAGACAGAAGGGGGAGGUGGAGGAGGGAAAAUGACCGAUUUUUAAGUGUUUUUUUUUUCGGUAUAGCCA
rnacentral:lncRNA from 1 species